rnacentral:misc_RNA from 1 species
UACAGAGACCUCGAGCGUUAUCCGGAUUCAUUGGGCGUAAAGGGUCCGCAGGCGGCCGGGCAAGUUUCUCGUCAAAUCUCAGGGCUCAACCCUGAGGCUGCGGGGAAAACUGCUUGGCUAGAGGAUGGGAGAGGCACACGGAAUUGCCGGUGUAGUAGUAAAAUGCGUUAAUAUCGGCAAGAACACCAAAGGCGAAGGCAGUGUGCUGGAACAUUCCUGACGCUAAGGGACGAAAGCGUGGGGAGCGAAGCGG